GUGCUCACUUCGGCAGCACUUACCCUGAAAUUGGAAUGAUACAGAGAAGAUCAGCAUGGUCCCUGCGCAAGGAUGACACACAAAUUAGUGAAGCGUUCCAUAUUUUA
rnacentral:snRNA from 1 species